UUGACCUCAAAUCAGGUAGGACUACCCGCUGAACUUAAGCAUAUCAAUAAGCGGAGGAAAAGAAACUAACAAGGAUUCCCCUAGUAACUGCGAGUGAAGCGGGAAAAGCUCAAAUUUAAAAUCUGGUGGUCUUUGGCCAUCCGAGUUGUAAUCUAGAGAAGUGUUACCCGCGUCGGACCGUGUACAAGUCUCCUGGAAUGGAGCGUCAUAGAGGGUGAGAAUCCCGUCUUUGACACGGACUACCGAGGCUUUGUGGUGCGCUCUCAACGAGUCGAGUUGUUUGGGAAUGCAGCUCAAAAUGGGUGGUAAAUUCCAUCUAAAGCUAAAUAUUGGCGAGAGACCGAUAGCGAACAAGUACCGUGAGGGAAAGAUGAAAAGAACUUUGGAAAGAGAGUUAAACAGUACGUGAAAUUGCUAAAAGGGAAACGCUUGAAGUCAGUCGCGUUGGCCGGAAAUCAGCCUUGCUUUUGCUGGGUGUACUUUCUGGUUGACGGGCCAGCAUCAGUUUUGACCGGUGGAAAAAGGUCAAGGGAAUGUGGCAUCUUCGGAUGUGUUAUAGCCCUUGGUUGUAUGCAUCGGUUGGGACUGAGGAACUCAGCACGCCGCAAGGCCGGGUC
rnacentral:rRNA from 1 species